rnacentral:rRNA from 1 species
GGAGGAAAGCAGGGGAUCGAAAGACCUUAUGCUUUUGGAGCGGCCGAUGUCUGAUUAGCUAGUUGGUGAGGUAAAUGCUUACCAAGGCGACGAUCAGUAGUUGGUCUGAGAGGACGACCAGCCACACUGGGACUGAGACACGGCCCAGACUCCUACGGGAGGCAGCAGUGGGGAAUUUUGGACAAUGGGCGCAAGCCUGAUCCAGCAAUGCCGUGUGAGUGAAGAAGGCCUUCGGGUUGUAAAGCUCUUUCAGUCGAGAAGAAAAGAUUGUGACUAAUACUCACAAUCCAUGACGGUAUCGACAGAAGAAGCACCGGCUAACUACGUGCCAGCAGCCGCGGUAAUACGUAGGGUGCGAGCGUUAAUCGGAAUUACUGGGCGUAAAGGGUGCGCAGGCGGCUCUGUAAGUCAGAUGUGAAAUCCCCGGGCUUAACCUGGGAAUUGCGUUUGAAACUACAAGGCUAGA